rnacentral:tRNA from 1 species
UUCUGUGGCUUAGUUGGUUAAAGCACCGGUCUAGCGAAUACGGAGUCGUGGGUUCAAAUCCCACCAGAA